UAUGGGUUAGAAGAGGAAAAGGUAAAAUCAGUUCGUCCUAGACAUGUCGUUAGAGAUGAGAGGAUAAAGAAAAGAUGUUAAAUUGGACACCCACUGCAUGACCCACCAUAAAUGGAACGGAAGAUUUGAGCGUGCUAUUUAGAUAGGUCAGUGUCUUACAGAAAAGACGAUUCUGCAUUUUAGCACAGUUUUUCCACCCAAUUGUCACCGCCACCAUACCAACCAGUUCGGAACCCCCACGAACACAGCGCGAUUAGUAUGAACUGUAACUGAGCUAAAUAUAAAGAGCGAUUCACCGUGAUCAUCGCUGUUGCUGUGAGUUUUUCCACGAUUGAUAUAUCACAAACCGUAUAGCAGUCUGUUGACCUAGCACAGAAUGGAUGCGAGCGAAUGGUAAUGUUUAUACUAACACAACAACCCUGCUACAAACAAAAUGCGCAUCUUAAACGAGGAAGAUCAAGUUCAUCGCGUAUCGUUGCGAAUUGCAGCGUCUACUGUCUACUUCGUAAACGAUCUGUAUCGUGCCGUCACCACCCGAAUCGGAACGUGUGCCUUGCAAUUUAAUUUACAAUUGAAUUAUUCAAUCAAUUUCUAUUAAUCGAGGCUACGAGGCACAUUAAUUGUCACCCCUUGUCACGAUGCGUCAAUCGUUGUCGCUUUGAUUUAAUUAGUAUGCAGUACGGCAGAUCAUCUUUUGAUUUUGGGAUAUCUGCCUGAAUUACUAAAAAUUGCUGUUGGAAAAUCAUAGUUCUGUGUAUUCAUUCAGCUUCUGCACUGGGGUUUCCUUUUGUCUGGGACGUGCGAAUAGAAUUACAUUGGUUUCUCGAUUGAGUCGGCUUCACCGUCUGGUGCCGUCUGUUUUUUUUUUGCAUUUCAGCAGUGCAUUACUCGAGCCAUACACGCAUCUACACACUACAAACCGGUUAUUUACGUUACGUUGCAUUUUCCUUUCGUUUUAUUCUUUGUCUCAGAAUUAUUAUGGCGCUGUUGGCUGAUAACUUAUCGGUGGAUCUAUUUGCUCGCCCAUCACCAGUUUCUUAUGCUUAUCUUGCUCCGAAGCUCAUC